UGGGGAAUAUUGCACAAUGGAGGGAACUCUGAUGCAGCGACGCCGCGUGAACGAAGAAGGCUUUCGAGUCGUAAAGUUCUUUUAUAUGGGAAGAUAAUGACGGUACCAUAAGAAAAAGCCCCGGCUAACUACGUGCCAGCAGCCGCGGUAAUACGUAGGGGGCUAGCGUUGUCCGGAAUCACUGGGCGUAAAGGGUUCGCAGGCGGAAAUGCAAGUCAGGUGUAAAAGGCAGUAGCUUAACUACUGUAAGCAUUUGAAACUGCAUAUCUUGAGAAGAGUAGAGGUAAGUGGAAUUUUUAGUGUAGCGGUGAAAUGCGUAGAUAUUAGGAGGAAUACCGGUGGCGAAGGCGACUUUCUGGACUUUUUCUGACGCUGAGGUACGAAAGCGUGGGGAGCAAACAGG
rnacentral:rRNA from 1 species